GUUUGGAAAAACAUCAGGGUGGACAUCUUCAAUCUUAUACAACAUUGAAACAAAUUUAUUUUGGAAUUCAAAAAUGUAGAAUCAUCUUGUACAUGAGGAGUCAUGCCUUUUCAAUACAAAAAACAGUGAACAUCACAUUUAAUCGAAUCUACGAUAUCACAUUGAUAUGAGUGGGCUUGAAAAAUUCUCAGUCUCUUAAGGAAGAAGUGAGGGGGGCUAUAUAUAGGGGAACAAAAAUAAUUUUUAGACUAAGAGUAAUAAUAGCUCAAGCUGACUGAGAUGACUGAUCUGAGCUCAGAAUUGGACACCACAAGACAGUCCUUUGACUUUUAGGAAAUGAAGCCAUAUUUUAUCUUUAAGAUAAAAGGUAAUUAUUAAAUUCCUCCAGUAUCUUAGGCAUUCAAAAAGAGAGACAUAAUGCAUGUGUCUAAAACGCUUUCAGAUUAUACAAUCCAUUCUCAGAGGAACUUCAGAAAUUAGGACAGAAGUAGAAAAAAAAGGAAUGUGACUUUUUCUAAAGAAAGGAUUAAAGGAUUUACAGGAAAAUAAUUUUUUGUUCCCAUUAUUUUCCCCUGGAAAUGGUGCUUAAAAGAAUUUUCAUUUAUGUUUACAUUGAGUUUUUUCUUGUGUGUGUGUGUAUGUGUUUGUAUGUAAAUGAACCUAAUUCACAGUAGAUGAGUCUAAGAUGUAGUAAAAGGUUUUAUAUCUACCUAUCCCAACUGCAGAGAGAUGAAAGCCUUAAUCAAGUUUGAGCUUGAGCCUUAAUCAAGUUUGUACUUUCAAGUUUGAACUUUAUGCCUCUUCUUUAAUGUCCCUUUAGGAAGACAAACUGAUGUGAGGAUGAGGAGGAGUCAGAAAUAAACUCAUUCAACUAAUACUUGAGUAGCUACUGUUGCCUACAGUAUGUUCAAGGUUUUGCUAGUCAUCCAUAUGAUCACUAUUGACAGCUUGGGAGACUCACACAGGCUAGUGAAUUUCAGGAAUUAACAGAAACUGAACAGCUUCUAUAAUCCUGCAGGAAGUAACCUCUGGAUGGCACAAUGGAGUCUCACUCUGUUGCCCAGGCUGGAGUGCAAUGGCACAAUCUCAGCUCACCACAAGCUCCGCCUCCUGCGUUCAAGUGAUUCUCCUGCCUUAGCCUUCUGAGUAGCUGGUAUUACAGGUGCCUGCUACCAUGGCCAGCUAAGUUUUGUAUUUUUAGUAGAGACAGGGUUUCACCAUGUUGGCCAGGCUGUUCUCAAACUCCUGACCUCAAGUGAUCUGCCCGCCUAAGCCUCCCAAAGUGCUGGGAUUACAAGCAUGAGCCGCCGCACCCGGCCUCUGCUAAGUUUACAACCUGCAAAUUCUAUCCAAAAUAUAUACAUAUUUUCUUGUAUUUUUCAUUUAAUGCACCAAAAUAAAAAAAAAAUUGUUUUUCAUUUUCUGCUGGUUAUUACUUAGAGGCUAGAUUUAUUUUGUAAACUAUGCCCUAAAUUGUUCCUUUGACUAUUUUUAAGUUUAUCUACCUACUCUGAAGUGUGGAAGGUGAGAGUAAUGAAUUGGCCCAGGUGAAAUCUAAUCAUAGAUAAUAAAGCUGCUGCUAAUAAAAAUGCUCAAGUAACCCUCAAGCUAAGUAAGACUCUGCCCCCAGCAAAAAUAGAACUUUAAAACAUGCUAUGCUACCAUUAAUAGGAAAAAAAAAUGUAAAUUCAUUCAAAAAGUUUAGUAAAGGAAACUUUAAAUAUUUUCUGAAGAACUCAAAAGGAAUAGAAGCAAAUU
rnacentral:lncRNA from 10 species